GCCUUGGUAGCUCAGAUUUGGUUAGAGUGCAUGCUUGGUAAGCAUGAGGUCCCGGGUUCGAACCCCGGCCGAGGCU
rnacentral:tRNA from 1 species